ACAACGCCACGAUCAGUGGACGUGGGCGGGCGCGCAACCAGCCACGGCUUAUCGCUGCUGCUCUCGCCUGCUAUAAAUACUCUCAUCACCUAGCGCACAGGGAGGUUGGAUCCAUUUUUUGCACUCGCUGCCAGCAUUCAUUCAUCUCCUGCUACUGCUAGUCACAAUACGCGCAUACGAACACACAAGAAAAAGAAGCAGGGAGGCCAGCGAUCGACUUACCGAGGUGAGAAGGUGAGAUAUGAUGAUGGUCUCAUCCCCUUAGUUUUGGCCGCUUGGUUCGGAUCAAGGAGCUCUCUCUUCUCACAUAUGAAAUAUUGUUUUUAGUUUCGGUCGUUUGGUUCGGAUCAAGGAGUUUUUUUUUCUCACAUAUGAAAUAUUGUCCUUAGUUUCGGCCGCUUGGUUCGGAUCAAGGAACUCUCUCUUCUCACAUAUGAAAUAUUGUCCUUAGUUUCGGCCGCUUGGUUCGGAUCAAGAGUUCUUUCUUCUCACAUAUGAAAUAUUGUCCUUAGUUUCGGCCGCUUGGUUCGGAUCAAGGAACUCUCUCUUCUCAUAUAUGAAAUCAUGUCCUUAGGUUCGGCCGCUUGGUUCGG
rnacentral:lncRNA from 1 species